GACGAACGCUGGCGGCGUGCUUAACACAUGCAAGUCGAACGGAAAGGCCUGUCCUUCCUUGUGUUGGACGGGUACUCGAGUGGCGAACGGGUGAGUAACACGUGAGUGAUCUGCCCCCAACUUGGGUAUAAGCCUGGGAAACUGGGUCUAAUUCCCGAUAGGACUGCAGGGUGGUGCCUGUGGUGGAAAACGAUUUUCUAGUGGUUGGGGAUGAGCUCGCGGCCUAUCAGCUUGUUGGUGGGGUAAUGGCCUACCAAGGCGGCGACGGGUAGCCGGCCUGGGAUGGCGGACGGCCACAUUGGGACGGGGAUACGGCCCAGACUCCUACGGGAGGCAGCAGUGGGGAAGAUAGCACAAUGGGCGGAAGCCUGAUGCAGCGACGCAGCGUGGGGGAUGACGGCCUUCGGGUAGUAAGCUCCUUUCGACCGCGAGGAAGCCGCCUGGUUGGAAGGGUGGUGACGGUAGUGGUAGAAGAAGCACCGGCUAACUACGUG
rnacentral:rRNA from 1 species